CGAUAUCAAUAAGCGGAGGAAAAGAAAAUAACAAUGAUUCCCCUAGUAACGGCGAGCGAAGAGGGAAUAGCUCAAAUUUUAAAUCUGUUGGGUCUUACCUAACCGAGUUGUAAUUUGAAGAAGCGUUUUCUGCGUGUUUGAUUUAGCCCAAAUCCUUUGGGAUAGGGUAUCAUGGAGGGUGAGAAUCCCGUCCGGCCUAAUCAAAUGUGCUCUACGAUACGUUUUCUAAGAGUCGAGUUGUUUGGGAUUGCAGCUCAAAAUGGGAGGUAAAUUUCUCCUAAGGCUAAAUAUAGGCGAGAGACCGAUAGCGAACAAGUACCGUGAGGGAAAGAUGAAAAGAACUUUGAAAAGAGAGUUAAACAGUACGUGAAAUUGUUGAAAGGGAAACGAUUAAAGUCAGUCGUACUAACGGGGAAUCAACCUUUUGAGGGUGGACUUGUGGGAUUCAGAGAGCCUUUGUUUUUCACAACCUGCUCUUUUUGGGUGCACUUUCUCGUAUUGUAGGUCAACGUCGGUUUCGACCGUUAUAAAAUGACCGGAGGAAUGUAGCUUCGAUCUCGUAUUGAAGUGUUAUAGCCUUUGGUAGAUGUAACGGAUGGGAUCGAGGAUUGCAAUGAAUACCCUCAUGGGCUAUUCGUCUGGCCUCUGACAUGUCACUCUGGUGCCGAAAGCUUGCUUAUGGUAUUAUAGUGUACGGUCAAAAGGUUAGAACGGAUUAAAUUCGUUAAGGAUGUUGACGUA
rnacentral:rRNA from 1 species